rnacentral:piRNA from 1 species
UGACAAGUGUCUUUUAUUUCUUUUAAUGU